rnacentral:lncRNA from 1 species
GGGCCCCCCACCGUCCUACCCACGAAGAACAGCAAACAAUAGCACAGCCCCGGCCCUGGAAGCCGAGCUAGCCGCAGAGGGUGAUGCGGAACUGCUCAUCGCCAGGGAAACGCGGCAUUCGGACAGCCGUCCAGAGCCUGUCUGAGUUCUGCUGGGCGGGGAGCCAGAGACUGAUUCGCUGCGGUCCUGGGCCCAGCGGCUGGGAGGUCCCGCCCUGGCCGAGGAAAUGAAGAGGGAGCAGGGCAUGGGGCCGGCGCGCACCCGGGACAGUUUCCAGUUGGCUUCUCCGUGACCUUCCUCCCACUUCCAGCUCGGAGCGGGAUGCUGGGAUCCCUCCAAGGACCCUCUGAGGACGUAGGAGGGAUGCUGAGACAGGCCCAGCUUCAAACCUUGUCAAGCUCUGACAAGGGAAGAUGAAGCCUAGUUCCAGCUAGGGGUGACCUGUCUAUCUGCCUUUUUUGAGCUGCAGAGUGAUCGGAGUCAUAUUCGCUGCCUGUGCAGCACCACAGGCCUGAUGAAAAUGAAAUGGCAACACCGUGCAGAUGGCAAAGCGUAGGCCUCACAAACAUCCUGGCCGUGAAGGUAAGUUGAGCAACUUUCUGCCUGCAUGGCAUUAUCCGUGCUUAUUUCUAACAAGAUACCUAUGGCAGAGUAUUUCAGGCUGUUUGUGAAGGGCAGCCAGUAGAAUUUGAAGGUUUUCAC